AGUGAUUUUCAACGGGGAAGCUCCCCUCCUAUGUUAAAUUAAUGCUGCACAAAGGCAUUGUCUCAAGUUCCGUAUUUUUUUCUUGUAAUUGUGGCCUCUUAGUCUUCCUCUGCCAACAUCCCCCACCCUUCAACGCUCUACCCAUCACCCUCUUCUCCGUUCAUUGAAAUUCAGCCUGGCAUACAGGCACUGCCCCUUUCUUGGCACCAGACUCAGGGACUCGGCGACAGAGAGGAGGGGAGAAAAUUAAAAUGAAAACAUAAAUAUGUACCAAUUUCUCAGUGAGCUUGUGCCAAAACGUUUAGCCAGUUUCAUUGGAUCUAGCACAAGAUUAUCGAUAGCCAUUUUCGGUGUACAAUUUGAGCAAGUAUAACCGCAUAUGGUCUUGGCAGCCAUAACGCAGUGGGAGGCGUUCAGAAGGCUAAUUGAUUUGCCUGUUUACCUCCUGCGAUUGGACGGGCAAAAGGGUUUACGGCUGUGUCCUUUGAUCGCUAGGUAAGAUGGAAGGCCUUUUGUUGAUCUGAUUUCAUUUGUUUACCUCUUUUCUGAGUUGCAAAACAGGGAAGCAAGAUGUUCCUUUUGUGACUAAAAAAAAUGCUUGGUAUAUGAUUAUGCCAAGAGGUGGUACGGUGUGUAAACAAAUGCAGGCAAUUAAAAAUGGCAGCCUUUUAUCGAGAGACGCAGAGAGGCGUUAGCUGUUAUAGUACUUUGAGAAACAGGUUGUGUCAUGUAUGACGGAGUGUGACAUGGCAGAGAUUAUUUUAACAACUGCAAUAAUAAUGUCUCUGUGAUGUUUUUCAUAUAUUGGAGACGCAGGCUCUGUUCCAAAACCUAUUGAGCCGCCUACGUAGGGAGCGUUUUAAGGCAUCAUAGGUGCACUCCCGACUUGAACGCGGUUCCAAAAGGAAUGAAUCCUGCGGUCUGCUGUCUGACUGGUCUGUUCUGCUGUCCUUGGGGCUGAGGUAGUAGAUUGAAUAGUUGUGGAGCACGGUGCUCUCUCACUGAGAUAACUAUACAAUCUACUGUCUUUCCUAAGGCGACAGCCAAAUCAUCCACAAACAACAUGGACCCGUUUGACAUAACCACCUCACGCGCUUCCUGCAGUCUGCAGUCGUCCAAUGACUCGGAAAGGAUAUUCAAUCAUAUUACAGAAGUAAAAUGGGUUGUGAUUGAUAUUUUAUGUUGACAAGUGUGUCGUAGGAUUUGCAUUUUGGUGUCUGAACAGGGUGAGGUAGUAGGUUGUAUAGUUUGGUGGAAGGGAUCAAACCCUGUUCAGGUGAUAACUAUACAGUCUAUUGCCUUCCUUGUGGUACCAACUAUCUGCACACUAGUUGAAACUCCCUGAAGUUUAAAGUUAUCGUUACGGUUAUCGUUCUUGGUGUGAACAGGACUUUAAAGGUGCAUGUUUGUGUGCAUUGUGAAACAGGCCUAACAUUGUACCUAACAAGCCUGAACAACAUCUGUGUGUCUGAUGCAAGCUUAACAUGCUGAUCUAGCAUGACAUAUGAAGAGACAAAUCAGAUUAAAUGAGAUUUACUGAGCUCAGAUUUAUGGCUUUAUCAAUAAUUUAGCUUUUCUGUUGGCUUGUGAUCAAACACUUUUCACACAUCAUAACAGGAAAUUCAGUU